rnacentral:tRNA from 1 species
ACUGCUUUGGUACAGUGGUAGGACAUCAUAUUUACUGGAGACGUGGGUUCGAAUCCCACAGGCAGCU